rnacentral:rRNA from 1 species
GCACAAGCGGAGGAGCAUGUGGUUUAAUUCGAUGAUACGCGAGGAACCUUACCUGGGCUCGAACGUAAGAUGACUGUAGGUGAAAGCUUACAUCUCUUCGGAGCAUUUUACGAGGUGCUGCAUGGUUGUCGUCAGCUCGUGCCGUGAGGUGUCGGGUUAAGUCCCAUAACGAGCGCAACCCUACCUUUAGUUGCCAUCAGGUAAUGCUGGGGACUCUAAAGGAACUGCCUACGCAAGUAGUGAGGAAGCGGGGAUGACGUCAAAUCAGCACGGCCCUUACGUCCAGGGCUACACACGUGCUACAAUGGCCGAUACAGAGGGCAGCUACCUGGUGACAGGAUGCAAAUCUCCAAAGUCGGUCUCAGUUCGGAUCGGAGUCUGCAACCCGACUCCGUGAAGUUGGAUUCGCUAGUAAUCGCGCAUCAGCCAUGGCGCGGCGAAUACGUUCCCGGGCCUU